CUCUUCAAUACUGAAAAAAAAAGAAAAUUAAAAUGAAAAUCAAAAUUAUUUUCCAAAAGUUUCUUUUUCUUAAAAAAAAAAAAAAAAAAAAAAAGAAAUGUUUAAAAGUAACAACUGAGUGUACAGACUCUAGAUUUUAGAUGUUGUAUCACUAUCAUUACUAUGCUGUUUUUCCUCAGCAGCUGUUAUUUUGUAUUUUCUCUCAUAUAUUUAAAGCACUGUUGCUCUCACUCAUGAAAAAGACAAACAAUAAAAAUCAAUCGAUAGUUAUUAGGGGUGCGAUAACACGAAUAAUACCAGUAUCACUGGAACCAUUUCAUUUUCAUAGGGGGCACUUUUUAUGAUCCCAGAAACAGGCAAUUGCCAAAACAAUAACAACCUUUAUAAUUACUUAAAGGAACACUCCACUCUUUUGGAAAUAGGCUCAUUCUCCAACUCCCCCAGAGUUAAGUUGAGUAAGCCGAUCUCCAGGUUUAGCGAUAGCACUUUUAACAUAGAUCAUUGAAUCCAGAAGCAUCGUGUUCAAAAAAUGACCAAAGAGGACAAAUUGGCCCAAGGAAAAUGUCCAGUGGUGGGUGAAGGUUUCUUCAGCUCAAGUUAAAUCUGACUCCAUUUUAAGAUGAUCUCGAAUUUAGGUUGAAAGGCAAAUGCAAAGUUUGUCUGUUUCUAAUUAUUCUUUUGAUAUUUGAUUAUUCUCAUUAACCAUUUUAUUUACUCGUUCAUUCAGGUGUUAAAGUCGCUAGCAAGGACACAACGUAAAACAGAAUAAUAUUAGAUGUAAUAAUAAUAUUCAAUAAUGUAAAUAUGUAUUGUGAAUUACAUAGCCAAAACAAAAAUAUCAAAUCAUAUUAAUACAAAACAUCAAAUUCCCAAGUAUUAAUCUAAAAGUAAAGUAUGCAUACCUGACCUUAGGAAAUACAUGGUAUGGAGUGGAAAGACAUACCACACUAUGGGCUUUCUGGCUACAGAAUCACUCUGAUCUUUUUGCAACAUUUCCUGAAGUACCUCGGACCAAGACAGUCCUCCCAUGAAAAGCAGACAGAAACUAACACUUGGGACAGAUGUUACGUGCGUGGAAUACACUUGGGAGGGCACACCUAUUGAAUCUAAUAGCCUAAACUGCCCACCACUACUGACGAGUCUGGCCUGGAUUUCGGGAAGCUCAGGGAGCUGAGAAGCACGACUGUCCUGGCACUGAGAGCCCAAGCGAUUGGUCGCUCGAUGGCAAGCCUGUGGCUAAACCUGACCAAGAUAAAGGAUGCAGACAAGAUCCGUUUCUCCACACUGAUCUCUCAGAGCGUGCUGUUCGGUCCUUCUGUCGAGGGCAUCGCCAAGUGUAUCAUGGAGACACAGAAGGCAUACCAAGCCAUGCGCCUCUUCCUGCUAAAAUGCUCUGUUGCUGCCAGCCGCCCAAAGUCAGAGCCGCCUCAGCAGGUAAAACCAGAGCCACGACAAAGUUGCUCUCGCAACUGGAAGACGCUUCUUGUUUGCAAAAAAGGCAAGGAACCCGGCCCAAAGUAGUGCUGGAUCCACUGUACUGAUCUGAGCCCCAACAAGAGGGUAGGACAAAGUCUUGCUGCCAACCGCCCGCAUUCCAAGCACAAUUACUGCCAUAGCAAUAUCACCCUACAGCCUAAGAUUGGUUGCUCCGGUAUAGAGACGGGAACAGUAUACUGUCAAGAAGCACAGUCUUUCAGUACUUAUGCAAAAAUAGAAAUAAUCAUAUGAAUGUGUGACAUUUACAGAUACGGAAAACCUGAUCUCUCAGAGCAUCUCUCACAUUAUAUAUGUGUGUGUGUGUGUUUACAGCUACUCUGUUUACCUUAGUUUUUAAAGCAGUCCUGUCUGUAUAAAUAUGGCAGACGCAUUGAGGCUCCAAGCAGCCAAUGAGAUGUCUAGGUAUUUAUUGGGUUCCAAAUGGAAGUCAAAAUAAAUCCCCAACUGUGAAAUACAUUGCAAGAUCUUAGUGAAGAUCACAUGAUCAUAAACAGACAUCACUUCCGUGAAGUAACCAUCACAUGUUUCCUUCAUUAACAGACUUUGGCCCUUUGUGAAGGGAAUCCAUUGUUGACUUUCGUUUUGGAACAUGCAUACAAAUGGUGCCCCAAAUUCCCAAAGGGCCCUUCAACGGUGCAAAAAAAGCUGUUUGGAAUUUGCCUGUUAUGGGUGAACUCCAAACAAAAAUGAGAAUCCCUAUGACCUACUCCAUUGGAAUGGCAGAGCCCUUUUAAGUGUGUUCUUUUAAGGAUGUAUGGGCAUUACCGUUUCAUAAGAGUUUGGACCUCCCUUGGCAAAUUGUGCAUGCAUGCAGCGUUCAGCAUUCUAUCAGUUGUUGCAAAUAGUUAUUUAUUCUCAUUAUUAUUAUGGUGGGCAAAUUCCAAACAGCUUUUUAAAGGCCUUUAAAGGGCACUAUUUGUAGGGAAUAACUGAUUCCCUUCACAAAGGGCCUUCCAGAAGUGCGUUAGUGAAGGAAACCUGCCACUCCACAGAAGCUCCUAACUGAAGAUCACAUGAUCACAAAUGGAAAUCACUUGCAUGUAGGGAUUCAUUUGCCCACUUUCAUUUGGAACUUCCCAACAAGUCGUGAGCUUCGGAACUGGGUGAAAUAAUUGCCCAUUGGCUGCCCUGAUUUCUAUGAACAUCGGCCAGAGAAAAAUUGCUGACACUUGAAUUAAUUGGUUUUGACACUUUUGCAGUUGUAAGAUCAGGUCUCCAGACUGUGACCAUUUUUUCUGCCUGUGUGACAAUUUUGUGAGUACUCAGACUGGAGCAACCACCGCGUUAUACUAAAGUACCAAGUAAAUGUAAUACUGCACCAUGUAAUACUUGCAAUACCUUACGCCUCUGAAGCAACUUACAGUACAUUAUACCUACUGACUAGCAUGUAGUAUCUUUGGAAUAUUUUAGACAGUUAAAACCUUAUAGAAAUGAAAGUUUAUAUUUUACACAAUAUAUUCAGAUUUAGCUAAAUAUAUACCACAAAAAAAAAAAAAUUAUAAAUAUAUAUAUAUGAUUGUAAGACAUCUCCAGAAUAGUCAUAAUUCAACAAGUUUAAACUCAUUAAAUAUCCAAAAAAUGUUGAGAAAAAAAAAAAUAAAAAUUCA